rnacentral:rRNA from 1 species
GACGAACGCUGGCGGCGUGCUUAACACAUGCAAGUCGAACGGAAAGGCCCUGCUUGCAGGGUACUCGAGUGGCGAACGGGUGAGUAACACGUGGGUGAUCUGCCCUUCACUUCGGGAUAAGCCUGGGAAACUGGGUCUAAUACCGGAUAGGAGCCAUUUUUAGUGUGAUGGUUGGAAAGUUUUUUCGGUGUAGGAUGAGCUCGCGGCCUAUCAGCUUGUUGGUGGGGUAAUGGCCUACCAAGGCGGCGACGGGUAGCCGGCCUGAGAGGGUGGACGGCCACAUUGGGACUGAGAGACGGCCCAGACGCCGACGGGAGGCAGCAGGGGGGAAUAUUGCACAAUGGGCGCAAGCCUGAUGCAGCGACGCCGCGUGGGGGAUGACGGCCUUCGGGUUGUAAACUCCUUUCGCGAGGGACGAAGCUUUUUGCGACGGUACCUAGAGAAGAAGCACCGGCUAACUACGUG